rnacentral:rRNA from 1 species
UGUUGCUUUCCCAGUUGCCAGUCCUUUCAGGCCGCUGGGAGAGGUCCCAUAGAAAUCUAUUGAUCAAAUUGGCUGUCUGAGUUGGCCCAGUGCCAUAUUCUUUGAAAAUGUUAAAACUUUCAACAACGGAUCUCUUGGCUCUCGUAUCGAUGAAGAACGCAGCGAAAUGCGAUAAGUAAUGUGAAUUGCAGAAUUCAGUGAAUCAUCGAAUCUUUGAACGCACAUUGCACCCCUUGGUAUUCCUUGGGGCAUGCCUGUUCGAGCGUCACUGCAAACCCGCUCAUAAYCAUUAUGGUGUUGAUGGAAGUGAUCUGUAGCAACCACUGCUUACUGUUCACCCCAUCGAAAUGCAUAGGCAGGAUAAUGAACCUCCUCACUGGACUUGGUAACUGUUUUCGAGACAUAAAUUAGUCCCUUGUGGUGUUCUGGCCUGGCCUUCAAAGACCCCCAUUCAAGGCGAAUACAGGGUUGACCUCGGAUCAGGUAGGGAUACCCGCUGAACUUAAGCAUAUCAAUAAGCGGAGGAAAAGAAACCAACAGGGAUUGCCUUAGUAACGGCGAGUGAAGCGGCAAAAGCUCAAAUUUGAAAUCUGGCGCCUCUGGUGUCUGAGUUGUAAUUUGGAGAGGCAUCUUCCGGAGGGGUCCAGCCUAUGUUCCUUGGAACAGGACAUCGCAGAGGGUGAGAAUCCCGUUCAUGGAUGGAUAUACCCUUCAGUCGGUAGUGCUUUCUACGAGUC